UGGGGAAUCUUGCACAAUGGGCGAAAGCCUGAUGCAGCGACGCCGCGUGCAGGAUGAAGGCCUUCGGGUUGUAAACCGCUUUCAGCAGGGACGAGGCCGCAAGGUGACGGUACCUGCAGAAGAAGCCCCGGCUAACUACGUGCCAGCAGCCGCGGUAAUACGUAGGGGGCAAGCGUUAUCCGGAUUCAUUGGGCGUAAAGCGCGCGUAGGCGGUUUGUUAGGUCAGGAGUUAAAUCUGGGGGCUCAACCCCUAUCCGCUCCUGAUACCGGCAGGCUUGAGUCUGGUAGGGGAAGGCGGAAUUCCAAGUGUAGCGGUGAAAUGCGCAGAUAUUUGGAAGAACACCGGUGGCGAAGGCGGCCUUCUGGGCCACGACUGACGCUGAGGCGCGAAAGCUAGGGGAGCGAACAGG
rnacentral:rRNA from 1 species